GGAAGUUUGAUCGUAAGUUUUGAAAAAGAGGACCAGGAAAGUGUUGGCUGCAGCUUCGACUAAUUCCCGUGAGCUGUCGGCUGCAGCAAUUAUCUGAGCACCCCAU
ensembl:ncRNA F01D5.13 ncRNA